rnacentral:lncRNA from 1 species
GUCCAGGUUCUGUACAGUGAGUGGAAGUCACAGGUAAGGAACAGUGAGGAAAAUAACCUGUAGGUUUCACAGGUGAGUUGUGCCUUUAUUGUUAGCAUAAUAAUGGACUGGGAAGAAAUCCACCCUCCCCUUAGAAACAUGAUAACACAAGCUUUGACCUAUCAUAACAAGUUUUAGCAGCAUGUGUCUUGUUUGUUUUAGGAACACAACUUAGUCCAUUCCUCCUUAGCUUCCAGUUAAGAUAGUCUUAUCAUCAGACAUCAGUAUCUGAGUCAUCAGGACAAUACUGUAAGAAUUCUUCAGCAUUGUCAACUUGUUCCAGAGUCAGAUUGAAUGAUCUACCAAGAACCACUGCAUGUACCACUGUGGUAGAAGUUAAGGAGUCUUCAUAGGAUGCUGGAUGAAGGCUGGAUACUUCUAUAUCAGCAGAAUGCUUUGUUUUAUGGCCUCUUGAUGCUGGUAAGCUGGAUCAGCACAACACAGAUGUUUAUUACAGUUGUUGACGAGUCUCGUGCCUUCACGAUGGUGCUUGGUGGUAGAAAGUAAAACAGUAAGGGCAGGUCAAGCUCCAGCCUCUGCCUUUCUCAUUGCAUUCUGAAAUAUCUGCUACAAGUACCGUGGCUUUGUACAUACAAAGGGAUUCUCUAAACAAAGGAUUGCCCAGCUGUUACAGUAAUUAGGAAGUUGGAUCAUCAAGACAGAAAUCACUGCUCAGAAAGAGCACCAUUCCUUUUCUUAUUUCGAGAGAGGAUUGAGAAACACUUGGGCUGAGUUUUAGAAGCUCUAUAAGGAUAAUGUAUAUUUUGCACAUGCAAACAGUCUUACCAAUAAUCCCUAUUUGGGAUACCAUGAAAAGUCCAGAAAGAGUCAUAGACCAGUUAAGGCUUUCACACUCUUCUCCCAAGUCAAUAUUCUGCAUGUCGGAAAAAAAAAUUGUUCUGAGCAAUAAUGGCUUUGACAAUUGAUAAUGAAUAGAGAGAGCUAAGUGUAUGUUUUAGUGAAGAAUCGUCUCUAACUCAGGAGAAGCUGGUCCCAUCAAGAAAGCCCUCAGAUAACCUGGUGUGUGAUCACUGGUAAUAGUGUCGCAGUAGGACGUGCCAAAGGUCAUCUUUCUAGAUCAGAUGGUUGUACUGGCCGGCAGCUGUGUUGUCUCGUUGGUUCCCAAGUAUUAAGGUUGAAGUGAAACUCUAUAACGUGCUUGCUU